rnacentral:lncRNA from 1 species
AAAACAUCCUUGUUGACCCGCCUUGUUGACCCGCCCCACCACCACUAAUAUAUAAACCCCCUUAUAAAAUUGUCCCCAAAAUAAACCCUAAGCCUAGAGACAUUGAAACGACGCCCACCCAGCCCCGAUUCUGCUCGCCCAAACUCGUCCAAACUCGUUUGAGUUUCAGACGAGUUUCAUCCCUAAACGCAUUGCACAUGGCCCUUUCUUUCAUCUCUCCAACGUGGCAUAACUGUUCUCUGACAGAAUAUUUUCAGCAUUACGCCAUUCUCACGCGCUUUUGAUUUCUUGGGACAAAUCUCGGGUAAAUGGGAGCGGUUGGAUGUGAGAAAUCACAUCCACUCUUUCCAUUUGUCCGGAUUUCGUUCUAUGUGAGAUUGGGGUUGUUUUUUUUGGAUUUGGGAUUAAAUUUGGGGGAUUUAUUGGGAAGGAAGAGAGAAAGUUCGAGACUCCCCUAUAUAUGGGGACUUCUCUUCAGAGGUAACGGGGGUUUUUGGAGAGGAGAGAUCUAAGAUUUUUCGGGAUUUUAACAAUUGAGAGCUCUUCUGUAAGGAGAAUUCUUGAGAGAAAUUGAAGAAUUUUUUUUCUGGUUGUUUCUUUCUUUCUUUAUAAAAUCAAAAACGGAAAAAAGGAGAGUUUCUUGUUACUUGUUUUCAACUAUGAAUCUGGGUUUAAAAUGGAAGUGAUCUGAUUUAUUGUUUCGAACUCGCCGGAGCUGAGGUUGUUCUGUUCGUGGUUCCCUUUUCAUUUUUCGCGUUUUUCUGUUCAGACUGUUCGUUGUUUCCCCUCGCUUGAAGUCAAAAUCUUUUAGUUGAUUGAUAUUUCUGAUUUCAGGUUCAUUUCUUCUCCAUUUUUCUAUUACUCGUGAUUUUGUGAGAGGCCCUGUUUGACACUUUCGUGUGCUUGAAUGCCAUUUCAAUUGUCAUAAGUUGCUAAUUCAGUUUUGUUUUAUGUCGUGGAAUUUUGAAUUUUGCUAAGAAUGAACUUAAGAGUUUGACAUGGAUCGAGUCAAAGAAUGCUUAAGUUGCUCCGUCUGAUGGUUCUGAUUUAUGUUUUUGCCCUGUUGUUAUUAUAUUUAGUCUUUAACUUGUUCAGAUGUUGCCUGUUGGAUUUGGUUUUAUUAAUGGUUCAGUCGGAUAGUGAAUAGAGAGAGUAAUUGAGUUUGUUUUUCGGAAGAAAAAAAAUGGAGCAAAUUAGUUGAGUUCAUUCGGAUAAUGUAUAAGAUUGGUUUAAACUUGUUGCGUAAAAGACAGAUUUUGGUAAAGGCGGUAUGCUAAAUAGUUCAUAAAUUUGGAAGUAAUGACAUUAAUUCUUGUUAAGGUGUAGUGUAUUUUUAAGUAGUGAGUCAUGUCAAAAAGUAAAAGGUAAAAGAAAGCAAAAGAAAGAGGUUGUAACGUUGGUUAAGAUUAGUGAAUAAAGUGCUUGCUUUAUUUAAUUUUGCAAUCCAGAAAUUACAUUUAUUGCUUUUAAAUGAGAAAAUUUUGGACUUUUCUUAAGUUUGACUGCCUCUUUUUGUUUUCUAUUUUAUUCCUUUCUUUAUUUCCUAUUUUUACUUGAAAAUAAAUAAAUUGAUAUAUACUUCUAUUUUGGAAUAAUUAAACGUAUAAACCAUGUUUAGCAAUUCCCUUUCCCUUGUUGUUAGCUGGAUAUCUCGAAUUGGAAGGAGUAUUUUUUUUUUGAUAAAAUUAACGUAGGUCACUAUUUGUCUCGUUUGAUUUUGGACUGUUCAUCAGAUCAUUGUAGGUUGGGUUGCAACAUUAGCUUUAAUUUUAAGUAUUUUUUGUGUGUAAAUAACUUCAUGAUAGCUGAAGCCAUACAUUUCUUCCGAUAAUAUCUUAUUCAUAAUCAAUAACCUCAAUUAUCUCAAAGUAGCUUUUUUAGGAAAUAAUUCAAUCGUAGCUUGCUUUAAGCACGUAAUAAAAAUCAUCACAAUUACAGGUAUUGUUCUCGUGGUAUAGUUGUGAUACUUAAUUUCAAAUUAGUUUUAAAAAUAAAUAUCCAUAGUUCACUUAGUUGAAUGCUUUUCUUUUAAUAAAAUUGAGGUGUGCUAUCCAAUCACCUAGUCUAUGGCCCUCACAUCGAUAUUUUAACUAGUGUAGAAAAUGCCUCGAACUUUCAUAGUUUGCUUUAGGCACGUUAAUUAAAUAAUUGUCAUAACUACGGGUAUGGUUCCCGUGACGUAGUUGUGAUGCUUAAUUUCUAAAAUCUGAGGGGUACAUUUAUGUGACCCGGCCACAAUUUAAUCUUGUUAAUAAAACAAAUACGUUGUAGAUCGUGGGUACGGUUCCCGUGAUACAAUUCACAAUGUGUAACCAAGUAACUAGUUGUAUGGCAAUUGGAUUAUUAAAAGCGGUUAAAAGGGAUAAAAUGCACAUAGGUUUCAAAAAAUAUUUUAAAAUCAGAUAAAUAGGCCAAUAAUAAUAGUUGAGCGACCGUGCUAGACCACGGAACCCGGGAAUGCCUAACACCUUCUCCCGAGUUAAUAAAAUUUCUUACCCGGAUUUCUGUGUUCGCAGACCAUAAAUAAGAGUCAACUUCCUCGAUUCGGGAUUUUAAACCGGUGACUUGGGACACCAUAAAUUAUCCCAAGUGGCGACUCUAAUUUUUAAAUAAAAUAAUCCUGGUUCGAUUGUGACUUAAAUUGGAAAAAACUCCCUUAUACCCUUUUCGGGUGUGAAAAAGGAGGUGUGACACUCCGAUCCGCCGUUACGUGUUAUCGCAAUUGACGUGUGUUAGAGGGAUUGUCAAGAGAAUUGACUCAGGUAUGUUAAGGCCAUCUCUUCUUUCUUUUGGCAUGAUCCAUACGAUACAAUGAAAAAUGCACAAUUCCCAUAAAUGACUCUAUUCAUAAAAAUAUUAGAGAUGCUUAUGUUCUUGAUUCCCCAUGUGUCAUAUUAUUCUAUCUUCUGUUCAUGGGUCUCAGAAAAAUACGUAAGUUGAAAAAGUUUACUUCAUGAUAUUAUUUAAGGGCAUAAUGGUCUUACGACAUUCCAAGUGAUUUUAUUGACAUACUUUUCAUACAUUGCAUCCAUAUACAAUGAUCCAUGACCAGAUGGCGUUAUAUACGCGUAUGUAUAUGGGAUAUGGGAAAAUGUUACAGCGUUAUAUACGCACCACCACCUGAUCAACUGGUAUAUGUUGAUGAUUUGCCCACAGUGGCCGAGAUGAUAUGAUAGGAUGCCCUCAGAGGCUUGAUGAUGUUAUUAACACAUACACCCAUGCAUGAUAUGACAUUUAUACUCAUAUGCACGACAUUAUAAAUAAAUGAAAUGAUUUACAGAGUUAUGCAAACGUACAUGUCUAGUCUUUUACUCCAUGUUUCUCUCAUGUCUAUUAUUUACUGAUUUUCAUUCCUUACAUACUCGGUACAUUAUUUGUACUGACGUCCCUUUUUCCCGGGGAUGUUGCGUUUUAUGCCCGCAUGUCCCGAUAGACAGGUCGAGAGCCCUCCAAGUAGGCUAUCAGCUCAGCGGAAGAUGUUGGUGCGCUCCAUUACUUCAGAGUUGCUUGUUUGGUUAGUAUGAUUUAGAUGUGUAUUCUUAGAGGCUUGUAGAUAAAUGUCAUGUACGUAAAAGAUUGUAUGGCCUUGUCGGCCUAUGUUCAGUGUAUGAGUGGUUAUUUUGGCCUUAUAGACCCGUAUGUCUUAUGUAUAAGUGGG